rnacentral:rRNA from 1 species
UACGUAGGGGGCAAGCGUUGUCCGGAAUCAUUGGGCGUAAAGCGCGUGUAGGCGGCUGAGUAAGUCUGCUCUGAAAGCCCGGGGCUCAACCCCAAGAGACAAGUGGAUACUGCUCAGCUCGAGUCCGGAAGAGGAGUGUGGAAUUCCUGGUGUAGCGGUGAAAUGCGCAGAUAUCAGGAGGAACACCAAUGGCGAAGGCAGCACUCUGGGACGGUACUGACGCUGAGACGCGAAAGCGUGGGGAGCAAACAGG